CUACGGGAGGCUCCAGUCGAGAAUAUUUGACAAUGGGCGGAAGCCUGAUCAAGCGACGCCGCGUGCAGGAAGACGCUUUUCGGAGUGUAAACUGCUUUUCAUGGGGAUGAAGAUCGCCUUUUGGUGGUUUGACAGUACCCAUGGAAUAAGGAACGGCUAACUUCGUGCCAGCAGCAGCGGUAAUACGAAGGUUCCGAGCGUUAUCCGGAUUUAUUGGGCGUAAAGGGUGUGUAGGGGGCUAUGUGCGUCUGUUGUUAAAACUCACUGCUCAACGGUGAGAUCGCGAUGGAUACGGCAUAGCUAGAGGAUGCGAGAGGCUUGCGGAACGCACGGUGUAGGGGUGAAAUCCGUUGAUAUCGUGCGGAACACCAAAGGCGAAGGCAGCAAGCUGGCGCAUUUCUGACCCUGAGACACGAAAGCGUGGGGAGCAAAAAGGAUUAGAUACCCCUGUAGUC
rnacentral:rRNA from 1 species